rnacentral:rRNA from 15 species
UCUGGCAGCCAUAGCGGCAGGUGUAAUCCUGUACCCAUCCCGAACACAGUAGAUAAGCCUGCCCGCGUUCCUUGCCUGUACUGAAGUGUGCGAGCUUCGGGAACUCUGGAUCGUGCCAUAU